UCUUAUAAAACCAGUUUGUGGGCACGGCUUCUCAAUCUCCCUCUGCCUUUUACCACCUUGAGCCCCUGCACAGAUAUCCUCAAUAGCAAGGGAUGAGCACAUCACAGGGCAACCAACACACGGAAGAUCAGCACAGUCCAUCCUGAGGACCCUAGAGGAUAAGCCCAUGUCCACCCUCAAUAACACAACCCUUCUCCUCCAAGACCUGUCAUCCUGAAUAAAAGAAAGAAGAUGGGGGUCCAAGGAAGUGAGUUCUGAAGGCUGAGAAGUCCAAGACCAAGGUGCCCGCUAAUUCAGGCUCUGCUGAGGACUCGCU